GAUGAACGCUGGCGGCGUGCCUAAUACAUGCAAGUCGAGCGAAUGGAUUAAGAGCUUGCUCUUAUGAAGUUAGCGGCGGACGGGUGAGUAACACGUGGGUAACCUGCCCAUAAGACUGGGAUAACUCCGGGAAACCGGGGCUAAUACCGGAUAAUAUUUUGACCUGCAUGGUUCAAAAUUGAAAGGCGGCUGCGGACGUCACUUAUGGAUGGACCCGGGUCGCAUUAGCUAGGUGGUGAGGUAACGGCUCACCAAGGCAACGAUGCGUAGCCGACCUGAGAGGGUGAUCGGCCACACGGGGACUGAGACACGGCCCAGACUCCUACGGGAGGCAGCAGUAGGGAAUCUUCCGCAAUGGACGAAAGUCUGACGGAGCAACGCCGCGUGAGUGAUGAAGGCUUUCGGGUCGUAAAACUCUGUUGUUAGGGAAGAACAAGUGCUAGUUGAAUAAGCUGGCACCUUGACGGUACCUAACCAGAAAGCCACGGCUAACUACGUGCCAGCCGCCGCCGUAA
rnacentral:rRNA from 1 species